AAAAAAUCAUAAGAAAUACAAAAAAAAGACCAGACUCAUCAACGACUAGACGUACCAAAGCCGACCAAAAACGGCAAAAAUUUUUUCCCCUCGGCCGUUACUUAGGAAAAUCCUACCUGCGCUUUGUACACUCCGCUCGUCGCUGCUCGUGAACUGAGAUGUUUCGAGAAAAGCUGAGAUUGAGGAUGUAGUUCGUUAUCGGUUCGGUCUUUUGUUGCGAGAAUCGCGUUAAUAGAAAACGUCUUGAAACCGCGCAAAAGUCGUAACACGGUCUCCGUAGGUGAUCCUGCGGAAGGAUCAUUA
rnacentral:rRNA from 1 species